CCAGACUCCUACGGGAGGCAGCAGUGGGGGAUAUUGGGCAAGGGGGGGAACCCUGAUCCAGCGACGCCGCGUGAGUGAAGAAGUAUCUCGGUAUGUAAAGCUCUAUCAGCAGGGAAGAAAGAAAUGACGGUACCUGAGUAAGAAGCCCCGGCUAACUACGUGCCAGCAGCCGCGGUAAUACGUAGGGGGCAAGCGUUAUCCGGAAUUACUGGGUGUAAAGGGAGCGUAGACGGUGAAGUAAGUCUGGAGUGAAAGGCGGGGGCCCAACCCCCGGACUGCUCUGGAAACUAUUUGACUGGAGUGCAGGAGAGGUAAGCGGAAUUCCUAGUGUAGCGGUGAAAUGCGUAGAUAUUAGGAGGAACACCAGUGGCGAAGGCGGCUUUCUGGACUGUAACUGACACUGAGGUACGAAAGCGUGGGGAGCAAACAGGAUUAGAUACCCGAGUA
rnacentral:rRNA from 1 species